UAGGGAAUCUUCGGCAAUGGGGGGAACCCUGACCGAGCAACGCCGCGUGAGUGAAGAAGGUUUUCGGAUCGUAAAGCUCUGUUGUUAAGGAAGAACGAGUGUGAGAAUGGAAAGUUCAUGCUGUGACGGUACUUAACCAGAAAGGGACGGCUAACUACGUGCCAGCAGCCGCGGUAAUACGUAGGUCCCGAGCGUUGUCCGGAUUUAUUGGGCGUAAAGCGAGCGCAGGCGGUUAGAAAAGUCUGAAGUGAAAGGCAGUGGCUCAACCAUUGUAGGCUUUGGAAACUGUUUAACUUGAGUGCAGAAGGGGAGAGUGGAAUUCCAUGUGUAGCGGUGAAAUGCGUAGAUAUAUGGAGGAACACGGGUGGCGAAGGCGGCUCUCUGGUCUGUAACUGACGCUGAGGCUCGAAAGCGGGGGGAGCGAACAGG
rnacentral:rRNA from 1 species